CUUUAGAAAGGAAAAUUUAAGGUCCGGCCUGCCCACUGAUUGAAAUUUAAAGGGCCGCGGUAUUUUGACCGUGCAAAGGUAGCAUAAUCACUAGUUUUUUAAUUGAAGGCUGGAAUGAAUGGUUUCACGAGGUAUUAACUGUCUCUAAGUAAUAUGUUUGAAUUUAACUUUUUAGUAAAAAGGCUAAAAUAAUAUUAAAGGACGAGAAGACCCUAUAGAGCUUUAUAAUUUAUAAAAAUUUAUAUUUUUAGAUUCAAUGAUAUAAAUUUUUAAAAGAUUAUUUGAUUGGGGUGAUUUGAAGAUUUAAUAAACUCUUUAUAAUAAGAAUACAUUGAUUUAUGAAUAAUUGAUCCAUUAUUAUUGAUUAAAAGAUUAAGUUACCUUAGGGAUAACAGCGUAAUUUUUUUUUAGAGUACAUAUCAACAAGAAAGAUUGCGACCUCGAUGUUGGAUUAAGGAAUAUUAUUAGGUGCAGAAGUUUAAUAAAUAGGUCUGUUC
rnacentral:rRNA from 1 species